rfam:Camelus ferus unplaced genomic scaffold scaffold2231, whole genome shotgun sequence.
GGGGGUAUAGGUCAGUGGUAGAGCGCAUGCUUAGCAUGCACAAGGUCCCAGGUUCAACCCCCAGUGCCUCCA